rnacentral:lncRNA from 1 species
GGCAUAUGGAGGUUCCCAGGCUAGGGGUCCAAUCGGAGAUGUAGCUGCCGGCCUACGCCACAGCCACAGCAACGCGGGAUCUGAGCCGUGUCUGUGACCUACACCACAGCUCACAGAAAUGCCAGAUCCUUAACCCACUGAAUGAGGCCAGGGAUCGAACCCACAUCCUCACGGUUACUAGUCGGGUUUGUUAACCACUGAGCCAUGACGGGAACUCCAGGUUUCAGUUUUAAAUUAAUUUUGACAAUUCAGAUACAAAUGAUGCUGGGGUGAUGAUGGUAGAAGAAGUAGGUAUCAUAACAGCUAACACUAGGUGCCUAGCUCAUUUUCCCCAUCUGGAAUACUGAGGCAAGAAUAAGAACUAUUAUCUAUCCCACAAAGAUUGUGUGAAGGUUAUUAGGCAAUUAAGGUCAUGGGACUAGGGAGAAGAGGAAGAACAUGUGCAUGUCACAUAAGCAGGUAAGAAGCUUUAAGCACUUCUAUGGCCUUAUAGAAAAUAGAAUGCCACAUUUUAUCCUAACAAAAAAUCUUCUUUUUCUUACUUUAUAGGCAUCCAUGCCUAAGUGCCUGUAAAGAAUUAAUUCACAUAUUGAAUUUGGCCUGGUUAAUAUCAUUGCCUCUUUAUAUUAGCUUUCUUACCUUCUGAACUUGGCAUCUAUAGACUCAUUAAACAAAUGACUUUGAGGUUAAACAAUCUAAUUCCAGAAAUGCUUGAAAACUCACUUCCUCUCCCUCCACCCAUUAACUAUGCUUUAUACCAGGGCAUUUCUAUUUUUUUUUUCCUCAAAAGUAUAUAAUCUCUAAAAGUAGGAGUACUAUAGUGUCAAAUGGGUUUAAGUAUCAAAUUUAAUUUGGGAAGAAUGUUUCCAAUUCAUCCAGGUUCCAGAGAUGAAUGCUGGACCAGUCAGAUAGAUUGUGCCUGACAAGCCAGAGAAAGACUACUCAUUUCUUCAGUAGGAUGGAAAGUAUUUAUUUUAUGAAGGUAUGAUACAGAAUGACAUAUUCAGAUGCAAUUUAAAAAAUCCAUUUCACUGUUCAUAUGUAUCAUCAAUAAGGAAAAUUUGCCUUGGUGAUGUUAACAUGAAAGUGCAUAAUAGGAGUUCCCACUGUGGUGCAGUCAGUUAAGAAGAGUCAGUUAAGACGCUGAUACAGGAGUUCCUGUUGUGGCUCAGUGGUUAACGAAUCCGACUAGGAACCAUGAGGUUGUGGGUUCGAUCCCUGGCCUUGCUCAGUGGGUUAAGGAUUCGGCAUUGCCGUGAGCUGUGGUGUAGGUUGCUGGCAGCUACAGCUCCGAUUAGACCCCUAGCCUGGGAACCUCCAUAUGCCGCGGGAGCGGCCAAAAGAAAUGGCAAAAAGACAAAAAAAAAAAAAAAAAACCUAAUAAGAUAAACUGUUCCCUUGGCAACUACAAAAUUUGAGUGGCCUCAGGGACUGCACUGAUGUAUCUAUUUUGUGCCAAAUGUUUCAGAAAUUUUGAGGCAGUUCACUUAUCUAAAGUCUCAGAAAGCAAGAAUUUUCAGAAUGAUAACUGAAGGGGCUGGCUGUACAAUAUUAAGAUAAUACUAGCUUUCAAUUAACAUAUGAAUGUGUUUUGCAUGAAGAGGCAGUUACCCAGCACACAAGUAAUAAAACAGGUCUGUGGCCCCCCUCAAGGUAAACAUUCCUACAGCCCCAUUAAACGGAAACCCUGAGACCUAACUAAAGGUCUGAGCUUAAGAACUCUUUUUUUUCUCUUGCAGGAAUAAAUGUAAAAAGCCCUUGCUGGCUCUGAGAUAGCCUGCUGAUUUGACUUUGGACAAGCCAUUUAACUCCUUUUGGUCUGUUUCCAGACCCAAUAUCUUUUGGUAAAGGUAUUACAGGUGUGAGGAUGAAAUAAUAUAUGUGAAUGUAAACUAUAAAUAGUAUCCAUAAGUUAGUUACUAUUUUAUAUAGUACUGUCCUAAGCUUUCCUAUGUCCUGGUCUGUAAAAUGGGAACAGAUCUAGGUCUGAAUGCCUGUGAACUUGAGCAAGUCAUUUCCUUUCUGGACGUGUUUCCUAACAAGGUUAUUAUUAUAUUAUGAAGAUCAAAUGAUAUCGUGUAUGUAAAUGCUGUGACAGGCAUAUAUCAAGAACACAAUAAAUGAUAGCUGUUAUGACUCUGCGAGUAGGACUGGAAGACACAAACAAUAUCUAUAGUUAUUGUACAUAUGUAUAUUAUUGUAUGUAUAUUAUACAUACAUAUAUGUAUAUUUAAAUAUGUACAUAUAAAAUAUGUAUAUUGGUAAAGGGCUUAGGUAUAUUUAAACUCUAUACACAUCCAAGGUAUUGUUAUCUGUACUGCAAACUGCAAAGACGUACACGGAACGAGGAAACAAAUGGCGCCUCAGUGACCCUCUUUCCCAGAGAGUAGAAAAAAGGCAGACAACGGGGCUGAAGAGCCUCAGUGGCUUGUAACAGAGAUAGGAAUGAGAAGAGAGGAGUGUAACAACAAAAAAAAACCUGGAGAAACACUCCGAGAAUUAAUACACCAUUCCCACCCUUUUCCUCUCGUGACCUCCAGCCUAGACUAGACCAUUUCAUUUAACUUCCCAGCCCGCCAUGUCGCUGGACAUUUAUUUACUGUACCUUCUUCACUGAGUGGCUUUCAUUCCCCUCCCCUUCUAGGAGUCUUGAACUUCAGACCCUCGGCUUCCGAGACCCAUUCCCUUUAACUCUGUUUUUAACCAAGUUUCCCUGUAUC